rnacentral:tRNA from 1 species
GGAUUUAGCUCAGUGGUAGAGCGCUUGCCUACCAAGCACAAGACCCUGGGUUCGGUCCCCAGCUCCA